UUGCCCUACGGGGGGCAGCAGUGGGGAAUAUUGCACAAUGGGGGAAACCUUGAUGCAGCGACGCCGCGUGAGUGAAGAAGUAUUUCGGUAUGUAAAGCUCUAUCAGCAGGGAAGAAAAAAGACGGUACCUGACUAAGAAGCCCCGGCUAACUACGUGCCAGCAGCCGCGGUAAUACGUAGGGGGCAAGCGUUAUCCGGAAUUACUGGGUGUAAAGGGAGCGUAGACGGCUGUGCAAGUCUGGAGUGAAAGGCGGGGGCCCAACCCCCGGACUGCUCUGGAAACUGUAUGGCUGGAGUGCAGGAGG
rnacentral:rRNA from 1 species